CGGCUCCCCGACCGCCCCUCCCUCCUGCGCCGAGGCCUGCCAGGCAUUGAGCACUGAGUGACUCACGUUUUGCUGCGUGGCUGCUCUCAGCUAGAGAUGGGGUCUCGCUACAUUGACCAAGCUGGUCUCAAAAUCCUGGCCUGAAGCAAUCCUCCCGCCUCAGACUCCCAAGGUGCUGUGAUGACACGUGUGAGCCACCCCGCACAGCCCAGCUUCACCAUCUUAAGGGCACACUCCAUUAGCAUUAAGUAUAUUCUAAUGUUGUGCAAACAUCACCACAAUCCAUUUCCAGAACUCUUUUCCUCUUAUAAAACUGAAACUCUGAGCCUAUUAAACAACUCCCCACUCCCCUCCCCAAGCCCUUGGCACCACCAUUCCACUUUCUGUCUCUGAAUCUGGCCACUCCCGGCACCUCAUAUGAGUGGAAUCGGGCAGUGUUUGUCUUUUGUGUCUGGCGUAUUUCACUUAGCAUGAUAUCCUCCAGGUUCAUUCAUGACCUUCAGAGUUUCCUUCCUUCUUAGGGUAGGAUACUGCUCCAUUGCAUGGCUGUGCCACGUUUUCUUCACCCAUUCACUUCACCCGUGGGUGGACAUGUGGGCGCUUGCAUGUUUUCACUGCUGAUCUGGCAGCCUUGGCCCAAGCAAUCCCAGUGGGCGCAUCUUGGGAGCUGACUUUGGGGCCACCUUUCCCCAUGCUGCCUGGGGACCAGAGAACACUGACCGCGGGAAAGACCGAUGCUGCCGAGGCCAGGAGGAGGGGGAGGCCGUCAUCUGUGGGUCCCCAGCAGCGCUUGGGGUCCUGGCCACUCCAGCGGCCCCUUGCACCUGCCUCCAGGGAUCCUUUGUCUUCAAAAUAACCUCCCUCCACCUUCCGGCUCAUAGUGCCUUGGGUGGAUCUGUUCCCAUUUCCCACAAGCCUGCAGGGUGGUGACAGGCCCUCAUUCCCAUGUGCCCCAAGAUUUCGGAUUCCAAAAAUACAUCCCCUGGCUCCCCGGAGAAGUGUGUCACGGUGUCUCCGUUUCACCACUGACAGGGCCAAAGGAUGUGCUCUCCUCUCCCGAGCUGCCAUGGUCAAGGGCUCACCUAGAUAACCCAGGACAGUCCCCUCAUCUCACAAUGACGCCCCCAGUCGGGCUGCCGAGACCGUGCCUGCUGAGCCUAACAUUCCAAGGUUCCAGGAGCUGGGGUGUGGACGGACCUGGGGCCUGCCAUGCCCUCCAAGUGCUGCCCUGCCCCUUGAAGGCCAGGCCAGUCCUGGAAGCUGGGAAGGCCAAGAUCAAGGCGCAGGCAGAUCGGGGGUCUGGUGAGGGGCUUCCUGGUUUCCUGACAGCUGACUUCUCACACGGUGGAAAGAGGGCUACGGAGCUCUCUGGCCUCCUCUUGUAAGGACACUAAUCCCAUUCCCAGGGGCUCCACCCUCAUGACCUGCUCACCUCCCAAGGGCCCCACCUCCUAACGCCAUCACACUGGGAGUAGGGUUUCAACAUGUACAUUUCAGGAGGACACAAACCUUCAGUCCAUCGGGCAUAUGGGGGACGGGUGGGAGCACGUGUUAGCUGGUGCAUGGGUGGGUGGGUGAGUCAAGGGGGGCUCAUAGGCCCCUGUUCACACCACUUGGUCGGAAGGGGGCUUUUACCUGGGUGUGGUCACCCCCAGCACCACUGGGGCCUUAUGACUUUUAUCACCAAAGCUCUACAAGGUGGCAGUCAUGAAUGAGAAACUGAGGCUCCGAGGGGAGGUGCUGGGCUCAGGCUCACCAGCUGCAGGGUGCCACAUCUCAUACCCCAUCCUCCGCUCCCAGCCCUGAGGAGCCCUCAGAGCCCAGCCUGUCCCAGGCUCUCUGCCCAGUGGCAGAGGAGACCCAGGCCUCAUUUGGUGGUUGCCAAAGGCACAAAGGCAGUCCCCGCUCAGUGAUGCUAUGGUCCCCUCCCUGAAUCCACAUGCAGAGAUCAGGGCUGGAGAUGGCCCCAGUGACCUGGGGACUGGCCAGCACCUUGGACACUGUGGCUGAUUAUCUGGGCUAAGCACACAGCUUCAAGAGUCUACCUGGAAGCUAGGCACAGUGAGCCCCGUAGUCCCAGCUACUCAGGAGGCCGAGGCGAGAGGAUCAUGUGAGCACGGGAG
rnacentral:lncRNA from 1 species